GAGGACCUACGGGAGGCAGCAGUGGGGGAUAUUGCACAAUGGGGGGAACCCUGAUGCAGCGACGCCGCGUGGGUGAAGGAGCGUUUCGGCGCGUAAAGCCCUAUCGGCAGGGAAGAAGAUGACGGUACCUGACCAAGAAGCCCCGGCUAACUACGUGCCAGCAGCCGCGGUAAUACGUAGGUGGUAAGCGUUGUCCGGAUUUUCUGGGUGUAAAGGGCGUGCAGCCGGGCUGACAAGUCAGAUGUGAAAUCCGCGGGCUUAACCCGCGAACUGCAUUUGAAACUAUUGGUCUUGAGUACCGGAGG
rnacentral:rRNA from 1 species